UGCUAUUUCCAAGCCUCUGAGUUAUUGCCACUUUGAGUACGCAAAGUUCUGAGAUGACUUGAUUGUUGAGAACUGGUGACCAAGCUUGGAAAAAUGAAGUAGUUUGUGAGAUCAAUUUUGAACUUGCAUCUUGUGAUCAAGAUGAUUGUGAGGUUGUGAGGAAAGUAGGGGGAGGAAAAUACAACAAGGUCUUUGAAGGUAUUAAUCUCAAUACCAAUGAGCGAUGCAUAAUCAAAAUCCUCAAGCC